GAUGAACGCUGGCGGCGUGCCUAAUACAUGCAAGUCGAGCGAACAGAUGAGGAGCUUGCUCCUCUGACGUUAGCGGCGGACGGGUGAGUAACACGUGGAUAACCUACCUAUAAGACUGGGAUAACUUCGGGAAACCGGAGCUAAUACCGGAUAAUAUAUUGAACCGCAUGGUUCAAUAGUGAAAGACGGUUUUGCUGUCACUUAUAGAUGGAUCCGCGCCGCAUUAGCUAGUUGGUAAGGUAACGGCUUACCAAGGCAACGAAGCGUAGCCGACCUGAGAGGGUGAUCGGCCACACUGGAACUGAGACACGGUCCAGACUCCUACGGGAGGCAGCAGUAGGGAAUCUUCCGCAAUGGGCGAAAGCCUGACGGAGCAACGCCGCGUGAGUGAUGAAGGUCUUCGGAUCGUAAAACUCUAUUAUUAGGGAAGAACAAAUGUGUAAGUAACUAUGCACGUCUUGACGGUACCUAAUCAGAAAGCCACGGCUAACUACGUG
rnacentral:rRNA from 1 species